UACGAAGGGUGCAAGCGUUAAUCGGAAUUACUGGGCGUAAAGCGUGCGUAGGCGGUUUCUUAAGUCUGCUGUGAAAGCCCCGGGCUCAACCUGGGAAUGGCGGUGGAUACUGAGAAGCUGGAGUACGGUAGAGGAAGGUGGAAUUCCCGGUGUAGCGGUGAAAUGCGUAGAGAUCGGGAGGAACACCAGUGGCGAAGGCGGCUCGCUGGACCGGUUCUGACGCUGAGGCGCGAAAGCGUGGGGAGCAAACAGG
rnacentral:rRNA from 1 species